rnacentral:rRNA from 1 species
UACAGAGGUCUCAAGCGUUGUUCGGAUUCAUUGGGCGUAAAGGGUGCGUAGGCGGCGCGGUAAGUCGGGUGUGAAAUCUCGGAGCUUAACUCCGAAACUGCAUUCGAUACUGCCGUGCUUGAGGACUGGAGAGGAGACUGGAAUUUACGGUGUAGCGGUGAAAUGCGUAGAUAUCGUAAGGAAGACCAGUGGCGAAGGCGGGUCUCUGGACAGUUCC